rnacentral:rRNA from 1 species
UACAGAGGCCUCGAGCGUUAGGCGGAAUCACUGGGCUUAAAGCGUGUGUAGGCGGACUUCUAAGUACCUUGUGAAAUCCCACGGCUCACCCGUGGAACUGCUCGGUAUACUGGUCGUCUUGAGCCUUCUAGGGGCGAGUGGAACAAAUGGUGGAGCGGUGAAAUGCGUAGAUAUCAGGAGGAACACCAAUGGCGAAGGCAGAUCUCUGGGCCGUAACUGACGCUGAGGAGCGAAAGCAUGGGGAGCGAACAGG